UGAGAGAACCAUGUGAGGAAUGUGCAUGAAAAAUAUUUCACAAAAGUAUGAAGCACUACAUAAACGUGGGAGAUUAUCAGUGUUGUUCAACAGCUUAUCCAACUUGCUAAGAAAAUUCCUGAACAAGAAAAAUGAGAGCCAAAAAGCAGCGAACCCACAUGUUCUUCGUGGCUCAUGGAACAGUAUGAACACGAGAUGCUCCCUGGAAAGAGGGCUCUGUGGCCACGUAAGCGUGGGACAGCACCUGAUUUUGGAGUCACGUCUCAUUGGGUUUGUUCAGCCUGAUAUUUCCACACUGAUUUUGCUGUGUAACCCAUGUAGCAUCCCACGUAUGUUCCAGAGAACAUGCUUUGGGAAAUGCAAACACACCUCCGCAGAAAAUAAUUAUUCAGCUCAAAUUUGUGAGGCAGCCCACAUUUCAAACAUUCAGCUCUGUCAUCCCUGUUAGUUCAUUUGGAUCUGUUCAACCAGGGCUCAAAAGUUUGGGUCUGGAGAAAGGGUCACUGUCACUAAAAGUGCAAAUGAAGUGAGAGGAUCAAGGACUCACGUGGCCUGCGACAAACCAUGGAAGCCCUAAAAGCAGGAACCGGGGGCACCUGGGUGGCACAGUCAUUUAAGCGCCGACUCUUGAUCUCAGCUCAGGUCACGAUCUCACGGUACAGCAAGGCUGAGCCCUGCAACGGGCUGUGCACUGAUGGUGCAGAGCCUGCUUAGGAGUCUGUCUCUC